UACGUAGGGUGCAAGCGUUGUCCGGAAUUAUUGGGCGUAAAGAGCUCGUAGGCGGUUUGUCGCGUCUGCUGUGAAAUCCCAGGGCUUAACCCUGGGCCUGCAGUGGGUACGGGCAAACUAGAGUGCGGUAGGGGAGAUCGGAAUUCCUGGUGUAGCGGUGAAAUGCGCAGAUAUCAGGAGGAACACCGGUGGCGAAGGCGGUUCUCUGGGCAUGUCCUGACGCUGAGGAGCGAAAGUGUGGGGAGCGAACAGG
rnacentral:rRNA from 1 species